GGAGAUUGCAGGCGGGCACCAGGGACUGUCAGGAUGGGGCACGGCGAGGGGCAAAACCAACGAGUGCCUGUGGCCGCUGAGAGUGGUUUUGUGCUGGCUUAUUCUGCACUUUGAAGUGCAGCAAUGGAUGGGAGCAGCGACCACGCUGUUCUCUAGAGCAGAAGGAGGAAAGGCAUCGAUAUCUGGCACCAUGUGCAGAGAAAGACUAAGGGAAGAAAGUUUCCCAAUGUUGAUGUCCGUAGCUGAGGUUCAGAGACUGUGUAUCUUCGGUACAGAUGACUUAGGAGUCAGGCUGGUAUCCUGGGUAGAAUUUCCUGUCAAUGGAGUAAUUACAGUGCUGUAUUUGCAUUUGUUUUAUAUGGCAGCAGAGAAUGGCCGUUGCAUUCAUUGACAGCACUUUUUCACAUUAGGGACCAGUCUCAUCACUGGGAUAUGGAAACUUUCCAUCAUGGCAGUAAAAAGAUGUUUGGCAUAAAUGAAAUGCAUUUUUGUAACCACUGAUGUGUCUUUAAUUAUGUAGAUUCCUGGGAGAAUUCUGCUGAAAUAAAAACCACCUCAGUUGAAUAGACACAAGAUCUCCAGAAGAACUGUUCAUUGUAAUUAAUUUGCAAGUGUCUGGAUCCUGUUUUUAUAAUAACUUUUUAUUGGAGUCUGAUCGUUGCCUGUUUGACCUUUGGUAGAAGCCAUGUAGGUGGAGAGUACAUUUUCAAAUGCUCAUCAACUCUGAAGUAAAAGAAGAGGACUCCUGUACUGGCUGUACAGACAGAAACAAAGAAAGUAAAGAAACGGGACCUGAAGGUAAGGACAGUGGCAAGGUCUGGUCUGUGAGGGAACGAUGACGGAGGAAGUGCAUUUUCCAUCCUCACAAGGUAUGUUCAUUUGUGGAAGAGGAGAAAGUGGUUCUGCUAUCUGAUGAGAUAGGCACCUGUGAAAGAUGACAAAGAGCAGAAGGAAAGCCCAAGAGCUCGGUUUGGAUAGCCAGAUCUCCUGGGUUGGGGUUAUGAUAUUACCCAUUGCUGCUCUGGCUAUGUGUAGUAUAGGCCCAGUUCAAUGCAGUUCCACAAAACUGAUCACCUUUUCUGUGGUAAGACCUUUGUGGCAUGGCUAGGUUGCUGUUCCGACAUGGUCAUAGGCGGUAGGAAGCUGUGUUUGCUGCUGGGAAGUAAGUAUGUUUUCAUUCUGUUCACUGGGAGGGCUUGAAUCUUACUGUGUAACAUACAGAAAUGGUGAGAGGUCUGGCAUCUUGGAAGGCUGUUGUGAAACAUAUCUUGGUAUAAAAAUAUUGCCCAGUUAAGUUUGCUAUAUCUUUGCAGUGUAAAAUGCUAAUAAAUACUUUGGUAUUUGAUAGUGUCUUAUUUUUUACAUCAGGAUUACCUCUUCCACUGAUCCACCUUCAUAUUCUUUCAUGUAAUAUAUCAUUUCAAGAUCACUCCUCUUUCUGUACUGAAAGAAAAACAGAUAUUCCUUGGUGGCAUUGUGCGUAUCUUCCUACAGAACUGUUCUCCUAAUAUCUGCAUCCAUCUGAUGCAUUUUUUACAGUACAGACCUGAAACCACUGCAGCUCACCAUGCGUGUGCAUGCUUGCUUUGUUGAAUGGAGUUUGGAGUAAUUACAUGGUGCAGUUCUUGUCCACAUUGGAGCAAAAAAGCCUGUAAGCAAACAGCAGACAUUAACACUUCCGAAGGUGACCAUGCAGUUAAGAGCAAAGGAGGAAGCAGAGAAAACAAAAAAGGAUCAGCAAAACAAGUAGCAAACUGCUGUCUAGGAUGAGGAAAGAAGUAUAAAGUGGGACUCAAAAAUCUUUUGAGAGCUGUGCUGCCACAGUAGCCUCGGAAGACAACAUGCAAGGGCUCAGCAGGAGUCGCAGUGGUGGAUAGUGGGGAGAAGAGGACAUGGAUAACCACAUAAAUCACUGCAGAGAUGUGAUUUAUAAAAGCCCUCUGAUACCCUCAACUGGGACUGAAGGCUCUCUCAGGGCAGUGCCGGUCUGGUCCGCCUGGUGGCAAACUGCAUUCACUGGAAGCGCUUCUCCAUGUAGAAGACCAUCGCAGAACUUCUCUUGCUGUGACAGUGUAAUGGGAGGUGGAGACACCUCGAGGAGAAGGUCAAAAGAGACAACAGCAAUUAUAGUCAAUCACAUCAGUGACCUGAGAAAAUCAGGCCCCAAUAUAUGCUUACAUGUGAUCUGUCUACGCCACCUUUCCUAUGUACAGAAACCUCAGGAGGACUGUCCACCCUUCAAAAUCUGUUAGGAUGUAUUUUAACUGCGUGAUAUCGGAGCCCAGCCGCUCUUGGUGGGUUGCAGAAAGAGGACAUAUAAUCACAAUACAUCUUCAGAGGCUGCAAGUUGGCCCCCUGUCACAGUGAUGUGCAUAGGUGAAAACAGUUGUGCUCUGGCCUGAAAGGAUCAGGAGCCUAUAAGCCUGAGUGAAGAUGGUGUGCAUGAAGCAGUGUGUCAACUCCCUGGAAAAAAAAACAAGAAAACCCCACGUCCUUCUCCAGGGGAUAUCGUUCCUGGCCCCAGAGCAUCUGCUGUAGAAAGACAGGAGUUGUUCUUCUACGUACAACACCCGUUAGUUCAGCUCUGUCUCAAGACACCUCCACCCAAAGCAGUGAUUUCAGCCCUGUGGAAUGACCAGAGAAGCAGCUCAGCCUGCAGAAGCGCAACCCGGCCUGAAGCCAGCGGGAGCCG